rnacentral:lncRNA from 1 species
GCCUCAGGUGAUUUUGAUUCUUCUUUGCUUUCAUGUGGAGUCCUCGGUGCCCCUCAACAACACCAUGGGACACCAUUUUCAGGCUGGCCAUUUCCACAGACCGUGUCUGAGACACUGUCUUAACCUCAUCUUCACCUGUGGGAGGCCAGUUCAAGGAGUGGGAACACUGCUCCACUUUGGACUUGCCUUUGUCAUGGUUCCUGCCUUUCUCAGAGAGCCCCUUUGAGGCCCAGGAUACAGGGAGGCAGUGAGGACAUGUACCCAGCCAUCUUUUGCUGACAUCCACCUCUAGGGUCACAGAUAUUAUUCCAUCACCCAAAGAACCCUCAGCAACACACCAGACUAUAUUCCAAUCCUCAUGGGGCCAGAUUAUUGAAAACAGUCUCUUUCCAGAAUGGAGUCAGAAGAGCAGUUUCCAGCGACCACCUCACAGUAUCAAAAUGCCUCCUCCUCCAGUGGCACCUGACUAAGGAGACAUCAUGAAGAUGCCCUGAGGUCCAGACUUUUAGCGUCCCACUAGGGCUGCAUUAUUCCUGUAAGAUGAGAAACAGACAGCCUAUUUUGGCUUUUGCAUGGUGAUCAAGCCUCUGUUGUAUUUCAUCUGCAAGUCUUCUCAUUAGGAGGGGCUUUUUCAUUGUCUGCUGCUGGAUGGAACAGCCUCUUGCCACAGAUUAUUUGGCUGCCAGGGAUUUCAAAGAGCACAAGAGACUUCAGCCCUUGCCAGAACGGUGGUGCAGUGAUGUAUUACCUGCCAACAGCACAAUGUGAGGCAGGGUCCAGCCGUUCUGCCCAGCAUACAACUUGAGGGAGCAGCCCCUUUUGAAGACCUCCAGGUGGACUUCACAGGAAUGCCAAAGUGUGGAGUGAUCAUGUGUGGAUCAAGGACUGGAAUGUAGCCCACCCACAACUACGGUGGGAAGGACCCCAGACCAUCAUUUUGACGACUCUCACAGCAUGAAAAUAGAAGGAUUCCCAGCCUGGAUCAAUCACAGUCAUGUAUCAUCUACAUUGUCUGAGACCUGAGAGGUGAGACUGAGCCUGGUGGACCCCUGCAAAGUGACAUUGAGAAAGAUGGCAAGCCCUGCUACAGUCACAACCAGAAGCUUACUGUUGUAUGCAUGGCAAAAGAAUGAGGAUACUCAUCAUGGGAUUUAUUCUCCUUAAAAUUUGUACUUCUAUAAUAAAGACUGAUUUUUCCUGCAUGGAGGACUGUUCCCAGUUUAUUCAUCAGGUUACUGAGGUAGUACAACAAGUUCA